CUGACGUCUGGAAGCCAAUCAAUGACAGAAGCUUCAGAACGCGGUUGGCAUAUGUCGGUUUUUUCCCACUUAUGUUAAGUGCAAUUGUGUCUGUUUUAAUUAUUUAAAAGUUGGAACACACGAUGGAAAAAAACAGUCUGACUGGUGUAAUGUAUGGGCAGUGAGCGAUGCAUGCGCGAGAUUGUGAGGCCGGGCGGAAGUUACCAAAUACAGGACGAACAACUAUGGGCGACAUUCUCCGCUUUGUUGAUUGCAUUUUAAAGUACAAGCGUACACAACAACUGGCCUCAAGUUCCUACAAUGAACUUUGCAUCCAUCCCUUUCUACCGCUUGUCCCUAUCGUUUGUCAUUUUGAAAUACCCUUUCAAAGGAAAAUUUCCAGGAAAGCGUCUGGAUGAGAAUCCCAGAGUAAAUGAAGGAAGACAUUAAUCGCUGGAUUACAGAGCAGCUGCUUGACCUGAUGGAUACAAACUAAUGCAUCGCUUCUGGAUGUUCUUGCUGGGGAUCCCGACAAGAAGGGCGUUGCAGUAGUCUAUUAAAAAGAAUCCAUCCGUCGUCAUGUCUUUCAUAAUGAUUGUGAACGACGGGCAAAUUUCCCCAAAAAGUGAAGUUCCCCUUUAACGUUGUGAUUAAAAUAACAAUAAUGCUAAUACUUGGUUAAUAUUAAUGUAAAUGGAGUAUUUUUGGCGGAAUAGAUGCAAUGACGUCAUGACUUCAUGGCUCCCAUAGGCUCCAUUGUAAGAUGACUUUUAUUUUUAUUUAUUUACUAGUUAGAAUUAGAGAUGUCCGAUAAUGGCUUUUUUGCCGAUAUUCCGAUAUUGUCCAACUCUUAAGUACCGAUUCCGAUAUCAACCGAUAUCGAUAUAUACAGUCGUGGAAUUAACACAUUAUUAUGCCUAAUUUUGUUGCGAUG